ensembl:lncRNA
GGUUGGUCGGCCCUGGAGGCAGCCGCCCCCAUGGCAAAUAUGAAACGAAGGCCCUGGACCAAUCGUUAGUGGGGCUGGGAGUGGUCCGGUCAGGCAUCCCUGAACAGGCUGUCAGCCCAGCGAGGAAUCUUCAAGGACCAGCAUAAUGGGAACUUCACUUGGGAACACAUCCCUAUGACCGUUAAAAUUCACGAGGCCAACCUGGUGGAAUUGGAGGCUCAGAGAAAGGAUGAAGAGAGACACCAUGGAAGAAGUAACUGAAGAAAUGAAGAGAUUCACAACACAAGAAAUGGGCAAGUGGCUCACUCGCUUCACCUGGUUCAAGUUCUGUCAAAGGCAUCCAGCAGGAGAGGCCAUGUGAGGACACAGUGAGAAGACAACCAUUUGCAAGCCAGGAAGAGAACCCUCAUCAGAAACUGAAUUUGCCAGCACCUUGAUCAUGGACUUCUAUCUGUGAAUAAAUGUUGCUUAAGCUAG